UUAUUUAUUUUCUGUUUGGAUGAUCUGUCCAUUGGUGUAAGUGGGGUGUUAAAUUCCCUUCUAUUAUUGUGUUACUGUUGAUUUCUCCUUUCAUGGUUGUAGCAUUUGCCUUAUGUAUUGAGGUGCUUCUAUGUUGGGUGCAUAAACAUUUUUAAUUGUUAUAUCUUCUUCUUAGAUUGAUCCUUUGAUCAUUAUGUUGUAUCCCUCCUUAUCUCUUGUAACAGUCUUUAUUUUAAAAUAAAAAGUCUAUUUUAUCUGAUACGAGUAUUGCUGCUCCAGCUUUCUUUUUAUUUCCAUUUGCAUGGAAUAUCUUUUUCCAUCCCUUCACUUUCAGUCUGUAUGUGUCCCUGGGUCUGAAGUGGGUCUCUUGUAGACAGCAUAUAUAUGGGUCUUGUUUUUGUAUCUGUUCAGCCAGUCUAUGUCUUUUGGUUGGGACAUUUAAUCCAUUUACAUUCAAGGUUAUUAUCUAUAUGUAUGUUCUUAUUACCAUUUUCUUAAUUGUUCUGGGUUUGUUUUUGUGGGUCUUUUUCUCCUCUGUGUUACCUGCCUUGAGAAGUUUCUUUAGCAUUUGUUGUAAAGCUGGUUUGGUGGUGCUGAAUUCUCUUAGCUUUUGCUUGUCUGAAAAGCUUUUGAGUUUUCCAUCAAAUAUGAAUGAGAUCCUUGCUGAGUAGAGUAAUCUUGGUUCGUUAGCAGGAUGGAAGCCACAGCCUGGUAACCUAAUCACUUUUCUGUUUGUUGUUCCUUAGAAGCAAGUCACCAGAUCCGUCCCACACUCAAGGGGAGGGGAUUAAACAUAUUCUAGUGUGUAAAGUGAUAUGGAGAAUAGCAGGAGAUGAGGCUGGAGAGGUAGGCAGGGAGUGUGUAGCAUGCGCUUUUUGACCCCAGGGGAGUAAAGCACAUUUCAUUUUGCAAGAGUGAAAAAGAUCUAUGAUAAGUGUCCGUUUUGUUUUUUAAACUGCAAACUUUUACAUUCCUCCUGGAAAUGGAAUUAUCUUAAAGACGGGAAACAGAUUGUGCUCAUUUUGCUUUUGUUAUGUCUGGGAUAUUUCUAGCCUCCCUUGCACAUAGAAAAAUCAUUGUUAGUUUCACGCAAUUUAACUUUAUAACAAGAUUCUGUUGCAAGACAGACAUUUUGGAAAAUGCCCCAGAUAAACACUAUCUCUGCAUAGCUACUGAGAGAACUGCUAUCACCAUAAAAGAAAAGUAGGGGAAAGUGAUUCUUGCACUGGAAGAUUUUCAAAGCAGCAGUUAUGCUUUCAUCAGUUAGUUUGCUUCCUUCAAAAUCCACCCACCCACUCCUACCAGUAUUCUGUCACCAUCUAGACAGAAGUAUUAAUCAUUAAAAAAGAGAAUUAGAAUUCCUUUCCCUUUUCUUUCCUGGUUGUUGGCUAAAGAAGUGACAUCUCAGGCAUGUAUUCUUAAAGAUGCCCAAGAAACAAGUCAUCGGUACUUAAGCCCAGGUUCACCCUCAUACAACCAGUUUACUAGUCAAUGAAAAAUCCCAAUUUAGUAUGAUAAGAAGUAUGAACUAAGUUUAAAAACCCUUUUUUACUUUUCACAAAUAUCUUAAUAAAUGUGAGUGCUAUGGCUGGGGACAACCUGAAGAAAUAGAACUAGUGUUGGCCUUUACCUUUUAAAGUUUUUGUUUGCACAGAUAGAACCGCAUAUGGGUGGUUGGGUGUCUUGUGGACAUCUCAAACUUAACACUUCCAAAACUGAAUUUCUGAUUUCUCCUUCAGAAUCUUCUUUUACUAGUUCCCUAAAAAUACUCAUGGGAAUGAGUAUGGACCACCAUCCAUUCAUUUUUUUCAAGCCAGAAAUCUGGAAGUUGUCCUUGAUUCCCACUCCCCCUUUUCACUUCUUACCUCCAAUCUAUCAGAAAGUUCUACCUCUAAAUAAACAAUGAUUUUUGCCUCUCUCUCUCCAUUUCCAAUGUCACCACGGCAGUCCGGAUUGCCACCAUUUGUUUGCCUGGAUUUCUGACAUGGCCUCUUAACUGGUGUCCUGCUCCACUUUGGUUCUCUUCCACACUGUCAUCCCCCUCAUCCCCCAUCAUUGAGAGCUUCCUCUUGUUUUUAAAAUACAAUCCAAACUCCUGACAUUGGCCUGCCAAGCCCCUUAUGAUCCAGUCACUGCCUACUUCCCCAGCCUUAAAAUGAUCACUGUGUUUUUGUCACAUUGGCCUUUGCUCAUCCUAAUGAACACUCACUUCAUUCGUGCCUCAGGAUCUUUUUUUUUUUGUAAGCGAGAGAAAAACUUAUUAAUUGCAGCAAGUAGGGAGAACACCGGGGAUCUUUCCCAAAGCAGUGUCUCUCAGGAGCUUUGUGUUUACUUCCCUUCUGCCUAGAAUGUUGCCCCAACCAUUGCCCCUGGCCCAUUCCUCAUUCCUUUCAUAAAACCUAAUUGUUCUUCAGAUCCCACCCUAAAUAUCACCCUCUUGAAGGCUUCCUUGGUCACCCUGUAUAGGUAGAAAUCCUCUGUUAUUUUCUAUCAUAAUACCUAUACAGUGCCCUUUCUUGCAGUUUUAAAAUUACAUAUAUGUUUCCUUUUGUCUUAUUUAUUUGCUUGUUAGUUUAUUGUCUAUACUCACCUCGAGGAUGUCAACUUCAUGAGGACCAGAGCCCUGUCUUAUUCAUUGUUUCCCCAGGACCUAGCCUAGUGCCUCCCACAGAGCAGGUGCUGAAUAAUUAUUGCAUGUAUGAAAGUGCCCGAAAGUAAAGAACUGGUUGAAACUGGUUUGGUAAAAAUUUUGAGAUUUAACACCAAAACGUCUUUUUUUAAUAGAAGUGUAGUUGAUUUACAAUGUUUAACACCAAACUUUAAAGUAUACUUCAGAUAGGUGUUAUUUUUUACAUGCUUCAGCUUAGAGAACAACCACUGCAAUAUGAAAUAAAAUCCCGUCUUCCUCCAAACUUGUUUGUCUGGCUAACUUUAUCUUCGUGGGGAUUUUCCAUUUCCAUUUGUGGGUAAAAUUUGUCUUAGUCCUCAACUACUAAUUUAAGCACAGAUAAGCUAGAAUUCUGAAUCACGGGUCUUUUAGUAAAUUGCUGUCCUUAUGACCACACCAUCAUUUGUUAGCAGCGCUCACUCAGGGGCUCACUAAGGUACUCCCUUUAUGGCAGGACAGACAAUGAAGAUUGGUGGGUAGUUCCUGUCCCAGCUUGUGGAGAGUGGAUUUACCCCAGGCAGAGAGGCCUCAGCUGGUCUUGCAAAGAAUGCCUUUUAUCAUUCCAUCUGUUUAGCCCCUAGGAGCAGGGUUCCUUGUAGAGUGUAGAUCUAACAGAUCG